rnacentral:lncRNA from 1 species
AGGAUACCUCUAUGGAAAUAUUGAAGAGCCAUUCCACGACAUUUGUGAAGACGUUAUAUAUCAAUCACGAGUGAUGAUUUCAAGGUGCAAAAUAUUCGUUCAAGUUAAUAUGGCUUAUUUAUUUAUCAAAUAUCUAGCAAAGAUUGUUUUGAAGAUGGUGCACAAGAUUGGAAUGCAAAGGCUCAAAUAUGUGAAUUGAU